AGAGGAUCUGCAGGCUAGGUAAAGUGAAAAAAUAGGGAUUGAAAUCAGGAUUUUUGGUGUUUGGUCUGAUUGGAACAAGUCAAGUUAGUGAUGAAGGUGAUGUUGAGUUCAAGGCUGUUCUUUUUGUUCCUCCAAAGGCUCCUCAUGAUCUGUAUGGGAGUUACUACAAUGCUAACAAGUCCAACUUGAAGUUAUACGUCAGACGUGUCUUCAUCUCAGAUGGAUUCGAUGAUCUUCUGCCCAAGUACCUGAACUUUUUGAUGGGAAACACAUUAGGAAGUUGGUUAAAGAUGGAUUCAUCAGCUGCAAACCAAACCACAUUCACUCUCCAUAUCAUGCACGGAGAAUGA